UGAUAUGUUGUUCAUCUUUUAUAUAUAUAUAUAUAUAUAUAAUUGUUGAAUUAAUAAUUGACACAAAUUAAUAUGCUAAUCAUCCAAUUAUAAACUAGGAAUGAGUAAAGAAAAGUAAAUGAAAUGAAACAAAUUAUAUAUGUAAUUUAAGUGAUAUAAUCCUAAACCUAAACUCUUAUUUAUACAUAAUUAUAUAUGUAUGCGGGCUUAAGAGGCCGGGCUUUUGUGGGCGGACCGGGCCAAGCUUUCUUGGGCUUAAUCGGGCCUGGCUGUACUUCAGACACUCAAGCCCAAGCCUAGCCCAGCCCAAGACAGGCCGGACCAUCUCAAAGCCUAUAACGGGCAGGGUCGGACUUUUUUCGAUGGGCCGGGCGGGCCCCCAUUAGCCCAUGAGCUCGCGGGCCAAAUGAUGAGGCCUAGAAUGGGUCGAAUAGGUCAAAUUGUGCAAACCAAAUAAGUAAAAUCAAGGAAUGAGUGAUUUCGACGUGAAUUGAAUCUAAACUCGAUCUUGCCCACUCAUAAAAUCUAGGCAUAUUUAUGUAUAUACCCUAUGUGCUCUCAAACUUGUCUCAGAUUGCCACAUGUGUUUGCAAACAUCUCAAAAUACCCCCCAACCUUUUAAAAACAGUCUCACGUUACCCGUUUUGUCAGUUUUAUAAACAUUCCGUUACGUGCGUUGGGCCCCACUUCAUUUUAAUCUUUAACCUCUUCGAAUAUGGGUUUUUCAGUUCCAAGAAAGGGGGAAAUUGGAGAAGAGGGCUUAGGAUUUGUGAAAAUUUGAGGUUGGCUUCGAUUUUGGGAGAAUCUGGAGAAGAAAUCUUGGCAUUCUUGGCAUUCUAUUCUAAUUGAGAGAAAGUAAGAGGGUUAAAUGAGGUUAGAACGGAGAUGAAGGAGGAGCUGGGAUAAGCAUAGAAGGUCUGAGUCAAAAAGGAGAUUAUAGAAUUUUGAGAUAGAGUUGAGUGCCUUGAAAAUAUCUUCUUCUUUUUUUUUUCUUUUUUUUAGGUGGCCUUUGGUUUUUCUCUAUGAUUGAGAGAAAGUAAGGGGGUUAAAUGGGGUUAGAACGGAGAUGAAGGAGGAGCUGGGAUAAGCACAGAAGGUCUAAGUCAAAAAGGAGAUUAUAGAAUUUUGAGAUAGAGUUGAGUGCCUUGAAAAUAUCUCCUUUUUUUUUCUUUUUUCUUUUUUCUUUUUAGGUUUGGUGUGAAAAAUGAAUAGGCAACAAUACCAAUUGUUACUUAUUUUAAUUAGAUUCCUUGGUUUUAUUAAAACACAAGGAAACCAAUUCCUUGCCUUAUAUAUGUGACACGUUGUUGCGCUUUCUCUCUAAGUCCUCUCCUUAUAAUUUAAACAACGAAAAACAAUUGUUGCCCAUAGCUAUAUGCAAGCACACAUGUAGUCGUUGCCUAUUACAUUUUCAUUCUGGCGGUAAAUUUUCCCCUCCAUGAAAUUGGCAACAAAAUGAAAUUAAUAAGCGAGGAUCUAGGUUUCCCUCUUUCACAAAUGUCAGACUGCGCAAGGACUUUCAAAAGUUGUUGCCUAUUGUUGUUAUAGGAAGGAGAUUUUAGUCGUUGCCUAAUGUUUCGUUGCCGAAUCCAUGUUUUCUUGUAGUAUUUUUUGUUGUUUUGCCAGAGUUGGAAAGGGGGAGGGGAGAACUUACACACACGGGUACCACGGGAGUUUGAACUCAGGACCACUUGGGAAGACACAGAAGGUCUGGGCCAGUCCAACUAACAUCCCAUUAGUUGAUGUUGGGUUGGUUUAGUGUCAAUGAAUCUUGUCAUGAGAAGAAGUCACUUAAUUAUAGAUUGCCUCUCACAAAACCACAAAAACUCCAAAAAUUUAUUUCAAUCAAGCUAUCAAAAUAUAAACUGCAAAAUUCAUCAUUAUUUACCUCAAUUUGUCUUUGCCUAAAAUGAGAAUGAAUGGUCUAGGGAUUUUCUUCACG
rnacentral:lncRNA from 1 species